rnacentral:rRNA from 1 species
CACAAAGUACGUCGUAGUCCGGAUCGGAGUCUGCAACUCGACUCCGUGAAGUCGGAAUCGCUAGUAAUCGUAGAUCAGAAUGCUACGGUGAAUACGUUCCCGGGCCUUGUACACACCGCCCGUCACACCAUGGGAGUGGAUUGCACCAGAAGUAGGUAGCUUAACCUUCGGGAGGGCGCUUACCACGGUGUGGUUCAUGACUGGGGUGAAGUCGUAACAAGGUAGCCGUAGGGGAACCUGCGGCUGGAUCACCUCCUUAA